UUUGCGGCUUAAUUUGACUCAACGCGGGGUAAUUUACCAGGUAUAACAUGGUAUAAUAUUUUAUCAUGAUAGUGGUGCAUGGCCGUUUCCAAUGGAUGCUGUGAAGUAAUGAUUAAUUUCAACAAGAUGUGAGACCCUCAUU
rnacentral:rRNA from 1 species